CAUGUGCUGUGUAUGGGUUGUUCAAGUGUUUUCAGUUUAGACCUUUGCAGGGAUUCCUACCACUUUCUUUAAGGUCUUUUAUGACUGAAUAGAAGCAAUUCUUUCAUCAAAUGAAUUCCAACUGUGACAGAAAGCCAUUUUGAAGAAGAUUGGGUUCAGUAAGCUGUGACGAUGAGCCAAAUAUGGCCCCCUUCCUUUUUUGGUUUUUGUUCAAGACUUUGAGAACUGUGCCGAAAACUAAUAAAUGUUGGUGAUUUGAAAAAUGUGGAA